UGGCUAACACGUUACUCUAGGAUUUCUUGGAUAUCGAAAGGUGUUGUUUCAAUUAUAUUACUCUGGAUUGUUUUUAAAACGAGAACUCACCUAAGCUUAAUUAGUUAUUGUAUUGGUUGGAUAUGUAAUGUACUUUGCCUUUGGGCUUACUGUGUUUUGAAUGUUGUUCUUUGGUUGUGUUAAGAUACAAGUCCUAUGUGGUGUCUAGUGAUCUUAGAGUUAGGGAUUGUUCGGAUUUUAACUUAUAUAUUGUUUUAGACCCAUCGACUGAUCGUACUUCGGAGUCUACGCAGGGUUAGCUGUUUGCCAAGAUUCACGUGGAUAGCAAGCAGUUUAUGAUUUGAAAGCUGGUCCACUCCGAUUCUUUUGAUUCCUCGGAGGUUUUAUGUUAUUUAAACUAGUUACUGUUUUCAAACUCUUAGACCGCAGUAGAACUAGUUUAUAUAUUACUUUGGUUAUUGCA